AUCAGAACACCACAGGCAGUCUUUGUCCACUGGAUUCCCUGUGGAGAGACCAGACCCAUCUACAGCACCAGAACUUCAGAGGAGUUUCCAAUCCCAAACCUUGGCUGGAUGGAGAAGCAGGCUGUGAGGAAGAGGAAGAUCUCCCAGGACACCCAGGCAGACCAGGAGCUGAGGAUGGAGACCAGGGAGGACAAAUCCCCACGGCAGAACCUCGUGGAAGAGGCUGU